GUCCAGCUUGCCAGCCUGACCCUGCUCUCCCAUUGGCUGAGAGUCACGUCUCCCUGGCAAUUUGCAGAAAGAAACAACAACCAUCGACGAUUAUUGAAUACAGAAGAGUAGACAGACAGACAUUGGAGUCGUCUCUCGGGUAGCAGGCUAUAGCUAGCACAGCUAGCUCUCGGUGUUUCUUGCAUCUUCAUCGCGCUGCAGUGGUGACUGGCCGGUGAGGAGAUGCAGCCCCGGCCGGAUCCGGAUGAUCAGGCAUCGAUGGCGUUUGCUGCUUGCCGGCCGGCCUUUCAUCGACGACGAGCAGACCGGCUGCCAUGCAUGUGCGGCCUUCUAGGUUCUAGCUAGCCCGUGCCGCCGUGCGGCCAUGGCAAGGGAGUAGCAAGCUAUAUCUUGCUCUGGGUGGACGGGUAAGCCUCCCCUCUUGUUCUUGAGUUGUGUCGUCGAUCGGCCGUUCUUGUGUGAUAUUUUUUGUGAGCUACUCUGAAUCUCUUGCUCUGUCAAAUGUUUAUAUAAGGAAAAAAAAUAAAACGAAGAGAUUUUGUGAGAUCUUGCUACAUCUCUGGUUCCUGUUCGCACUACAGACAAGUUUACCAAUUUUCUGUACAAAGCUUUUCAGAUUCUUCGCUCGUUAUUGUAUUUGUUCUCUCAAGAUCCAUUCUCGCCCCCCGCCAUUAAAGCAAGAGAUUUGUGUCAUGUUCGGGAUGGACCUGCUGUGGUAAAUGAAAUUUCGAUUUUGGAUCCGAUUUACAGCCCCGGUUGGCUUGCAGACUGCAGUGCAUAGACGGCCCAUAGGCCUGGGAUGCCAACGGCCCAUUAUGAGAAACUACCUCCUAAGAUAAGAUGGUUCCGGCCCAAAGGCUCAAGGCCGUCUCGCUUUGCAUUAUGCAUCAUCUCCCAUGCAUUUUUGAUCCGGCGCACCCAAACUUUUGUGCUGAUGGGACCCGUCCAUGCAUCGUUCCUACUUGUACUGUUGCGUGCUGCGCUGCAGCCUGUUUCCGUGCAUUUUUUCCACAAGGAGGCACCGCGCGCACACCAGCAGCAGCCACCAGGGGUAUAAUUAUAAACUUCCCCUUCCUCCUCCUCCUCCUCUUCUCCCCCCGGAUUGGAGUUGCCAGCGAGCCCGCGACGUCCACUGAGCACCGGCGGGCGCGGCCUUCCACGCGGGCCGGUAUUCCGUUCUCCUGCCGCCCGCCCGCAUCGCCGCUAUGAACAACGACGGCGGCGUCGCAGCAGACGACGACUACCGCGGUGCGGCCGCUCGUCGCGGCGUCUUUCCCGGCGUCCACAACCGCCGGUUCAGAGCCGCGCUCUACCUGGCGGCCUGGGGAGUCGCUGGGAUCAUAUCCACCACAGUGCCAAGCCUCGCAGCCAACGCAGAGCACGUCAUGGUAUACUUUCUCCUCCUCAUGGCUGCCGUGCUCCUGCUUCUGCUCUCAAUGGCUGCUGUGGAUCUGCCCUGGCUGGAGACGGCGGCGGCUCGCCUCGAGUUCCUUCUCGCGGACAUGUUCUAGCUAGGAUCAGACGAGGCACGCCAGCAAUCACAAUACUUUUGCUUUGUUUGGUCUUCUCUUCGCGAUGCUUGCCUUUUUGUGUUGUGUGUGUGAUAUAUAUGAGACUGGAGUAUUUGUGUGUACAUAACGUAUGGAUUGUAAGAUUGCUCCUAUAAGUAUGAUGCUAAACCCUUUCGUAAUCUCUGGAACUGCUGUGGAUUAUUUUGUGCAAGCUGCCUGCUGUCCUGUUGUUGUG